rnacentral:lncRNA from 1 species
AAUAUCUCUCUUUUGGAUUUCAAACUUUCAUUUAAAGUCUAAAUUGGCAGACCUUUUCUCUCUCUUUGCUCUCAUGGAGUUUCUCCAGUUUUUCUUUUUCUUACUGCACAACAUCCCAGCCAUUUUUGGGUAUUAAUUUGAAACAAAUCUGCUCAAAGCACAGGCAAAUCUGAAACAAAUCUGCUCAAAUCUCGCUCAUUAAAUGAUGAACGACUAUUUUACCGUUCAAAACUCCAUGCUCUUAAUUUCAAACGUUAGAGGUAGAAAUCCCACCAAAAGAACUACCAAGAUUGCAGCCAUUAGGGAGAAGGUGGAGCCGCCCCUCUAUCACCCCUAAGUUUAAGCUUCAGCCGUUGCCUCUAACCCUCAAACCCACUACUCUUUGCUUGCUUUCACUAUUUAAGAAAAUUUUCAUAAAAUCUUUUUCUGUUCCACCUUUGGUACUUUUUGAUUUCAGUGGGUUUUUAAUCAAAACAGAGCUGCUGCUUUUUCAUUUAUUCUUUUGUCCACGUUCGAGGUGACGAGCUCGUGGUCGGAUUUCGAUUGUAGGUAAAAGACCCCGGUUCACUGCUCCGAAGCAGGUCAGCUCAUUUCUUUUCUUUAUUAUUAUUAUUAUUAUAUUUAGUUGUGUUUAGAAUGAAAAUUUGAGUUUGUUUUAUUUCCUCUUUUCCGAAGAGUAGUUUCAGUGUUAAAUAUGUGCUUUAGUUGUUCACCACAUCUGUUUAAUCUAAGUGUUACUAAAGGAAGAACCUGACUAGCAAAGUAUUAUCAUGGGAUAUUUUCUUAUAUAUUAAAAAUUAUUUCUUUAAAGUUGCUCUCUUCUUUGUUAAAGAAAAACAAGACUAGCUGCUAUCUUAUAGUAGUGAUAUAUUAGUAGAGAUCGUAUUUUUUUUUUAUAUAUUAUGGCCAUCUAAUAUAUCGAUAUGAAUAUGCCUAUUGCUGCUUUAUACAUAAACACUAUAUUGGUAUUGAGUCCAAAAUCUAGAAAUCAUUGUUUAGUUUUCCUUUGAAUGAUGCAGGACUCUGUCCUUCAGAUUUAGGACACAUCUUUUUGAAAUAAGAUCCAGUUAUAUGUCUACUUUUAUAUAUAGAUGUAAUAUUGACACUAUAGGUAGCAUGCUCAACAACAACAACCCAAUUGGUGUCAGAGGAGGGUAAUAGCUACGCACGCAGACCUUACUCCUACCCGAGGGGCAGAGAGGCUGUUUGUAGGUAGCAUGCUCAUUGGGGUUAUUUGCCCAUUUAGCUUAUAUUUUUUUAAAUAAAAAAUGAAAGUUCUGCUUUCAUGAAUUAUAACUUGAGUUCUUGUUGAAAUAUUAAUGUCUUUUCUUUAGUUGCUUUCUAAUAGUAGAAAAUAGGACUUUAGAUGGACAUCAAAUUUGCUUAAAAUUUGGAGAUCAUGUCAAUAGAUUUAAAUAAUUUAUGUUUAAUUUAAAAGGCAAUCGUCUUCAUUAAACUACAUGUGAGUUUUAAAAUAAUUAAAAUAAGUUAUGGCAUUUUUUGAUUCGUAGUUGUAAUACUAAAUGAGGCCGCGUUUUCUAUUGAAUUUGCCAUAAAACAUUUCAUGUUAGAAUGGAGUAAUUCAUAGUAGUUAAAUUGGCUGUUAAUGAAAUCUUUUGGAUUUUUUGUUAAUGUAUCUGUCUUGGUCUAAAUUGAAUGCAAAGAAUCAUUUUUAUAGAAGUCAUUUAAAUAUUAUUUAAAAUUUAAAUAUUAUUUAAAAGGGGCAAAGUCUAUGUUAGAGUUGAAUCUUUUAAGAGACAUCAUGUCAUGUUAAGAUGGUACCCACAUGCAUGCUUUAUGUAUUUGGAAUGAUUGAUACUUUAAUAAUUGCAAGCUUAGUCUAAAGCAUUCAGCUACAACUCCUCUGUUGCAAACCUGUGGGAACAAACUGAAAUCGGUGCUCUCAUUUAUUCAAUGAUUUAACAUGUGAAAUUCUUGUCAAAUAACGAGUUGUCUGCUAAUCUUUAUCCUUUUUUUUUUCUUUGCAUGUACGCUUUGGAGCAAAAAUCGAGUCUUAAUUCGAGAUUCUCGCGGUGGAGUCGCAUAGAGACUCAACGCUACUACCACCACGUGGAGGAUGGCAUAACAUAUCCCAUAGAUGCAUCGGAUAGUCAAAAAAACAAGCGAAUUGCUUGGGUCGCUUAUGGCGGCUUUUAUUUUUACUUGCUGUCUGAUGUUAAUUUAUAUGAUUUGUUUUGUUUGAACCUAUGAUUGAUGAUUAAUUUUAUCAUUUAAAAUUACAACUUUAGUUUUGAGUAAAAUACUUUUUAAUAAAGACUUGAAAGGAUACAAUGCACUUAGCGAUUUGGGGGUAGUAUUUUUAUGAAAAGCAG